CAGUAGCCGCGGGAAUACGAAGGGUGCAAGCGUUACUCGGAAUUACUGGGCGUAAAGCGUGCGUAGGUGGUGGUUUAAGUCCGUUGUGAAAGCCCUGGGCUCAACCUGGGAAUUGCAGUGGAUACUGGAUCACUAGAGUGUGGUAGAGGAUAGUGGAAUUUCCGGUGUAGCAGUGAAAUGCGUAGAGAUCGGAAGGAGCAUCUGUGGCGAAGGCGACUAUCUGGGCCAACACUGACACUGAGGCACGAAAGCGUGGGGAGCAAACAGGAUUAGAUACCCGAGUAGUCCCUGUCUCUUAUAC
rnacentral:rRNA from 1 species